GUACACGCUGUGACUAGCAUAUCAAUAAGCGGAGGAAAAGAAACUAACAAGGAUUCCCUCAGUAACGGCGAGUGAAGCGGGAAGAGCUCAAAUUUGAAAUCUUGAAAGGUCACCUUUCACGAAUUGUAGUUUAAAGAAGUGUUUUCUGUUACGAUCGUAAUAUAAGUUCUUUGGAAUAGGACAUCACAGAGGGUGAGAAUCCCGUCUAUGAUUGCGAUUUGUAGCUUUGUGAUACACUUUCAAAGAGUCGGGUUGUUUGGGAAUGCAGCCCAAAACGGGAGGUAAAUUUCUUCUAAGGCUAAAUAUUGGCGAGAGACCGAUAGCGAACAAGUACCGUGAGGGAAAGAUGAAAAGAACUUUGAAAAGAGAGUUAAACAGUACGUGAAAUUGUCAAAAGGGAAGCGUUUGACACCAGUGUUGUUUUCUCGAAAAUCAAUUAAAAAGAGUUGGAUUUUGUGUUGUAUUGACCUUAACAGCUUUCUGCACUCUUUUCCUGCUUUUUUUAAUGCACUUUUCGUUUAACAAGUCAACAUCAGUUUCUUUUGUUGUAAAAGGGUCAUUGGAAGGUGGCUUUCUUUUCGGAGAAAGUGUUUAUAGCCUUUGGCCUCUGCAAUCGAAGAGACUGAGGUCUGCAGCGUAGACUCUUCGGGGUUAGAUACAUUUGUGCUAAGUUAUAGCUUUUUCAUAGACAACUUGUUGACUAUAAUUAGUCAUGUAGCUUACUCGCUUAUGCUAUUUUACCUACGCUUAGGAUGUUGACGCAUGAGAUAUACGC
rnacentral:rRNA from 1 species